GAUGAACGCUGGCGGCGUGCCUAAUACAUGCAGGUCGAGCGAACGGACGAGAAGCUUGCUUCUCUGAUGUUAGCGGCGGACGGGUGAGUAACACGUGGAUAACCUACCUAUAAGACUGGGAUAACUUCGGGAAACCGGAGCUAAUACCGGAUAAUAUUUUGAACCGCAUGGUUCAAAAGUGAAAGACGGUCUUGCUGUCACUUAUAGAUGGAUCCGCGCUGCAUUAGCUAGUUGGUAAGGUAACGGCUUACCAAGGCAACGAUGCAUAGCCGACCUGAGAGGGUGAUCGGCCACACUGGAACUGAGACACGGUCCAGACUCCUACGGGAGGCAGCAGUAGGGAAUCUUCCGCAAUGGGCGAAAGCCUGACGGAGCAACGCCGCGUGAGUGAUGAAGGUCUUCGGAUCGUAAAACUCUGUUAUUAGGGAAGAACAUAUGUGUAAGUAACUGUGCACAUCUUGGCGGUACCUAAUCAGAAAGCCACGGCUAACUACGUG
rnacentral:rRNA from 1 species